CAGCCAGAUCACGUUGAAGCAUCGGUUCUCGUACGAUCGCCAAAGUUAAGCAACGUCAAGCCUGCUCAGUACCUAGAUGGGUGUCAACUUGGGAAUACCAGGUGCUGUAAG